AACAUCGCGCACCUGCGGGAACCUGCGGAAGGAUCAUUAUCGAGUUUUGACUGGGUUGUAGCUGGCCUUUCCGAGGCAUCGUGCACGCCCUGCUCAUCCACUCUACACCUGUGCACUUACUGUGGGUUAUGGAUCGUGUGGAACGAGCUCUUUGACGAGUUUGUGAAGCACAUCUGUGCCUGCGUUUUACCACAAACACUACAAAGUAUUAGAAUGUGUAUUGCGAUGUAACGCAUCUAU
rnacentral:misc_RNA from 1 species